rnacentral:rRNA from 1 species
AACGCGAAGAACCUUACCUAGGCUUGACAUCCCCUUGACCAGUGCAGAGAUGCACUCUUCUCUUCGGAGACAAGGGUGACAGGUGGUGCAUGGUUGUCGUCAGCUCGUGUCGUGAGAUGUUGGGUUAAGUCCCGCAACGAGCGCAACCCUUAUCCUUAGUUGCCAGCAGGUAAAGCUGGGCACUCUAAGGAGACUGCCGACGAUAAAUCGGAGGAAGGUGGGGACGACGUCAAAUCAUCAUGCCCCUUAUGUCUUGGGCUACACACGUGCUACAAUGGUCGGUACAAAGGGAAGCGAAGUAGAGAUAUGGAGCAAAUCCCAAUAAACCGAUCCCAGUUCGGAUUGUAGGCUGCAACUCGCCUACAUGAAGUCGGAGUUGCUAGUAAUCGCGAAUCAGAACGUCGCGGUGAAUGCGUUCCCGGGUCUUGUACACACCG